rnacentral:rRNA from 1 species
CCAAUAGCGUAUAUUAAAGUUGUUGCAGUUAAAAAGCUCGUAGUUGAAUUUCGGGAUCAGUUCGCUGGUCGUGCCUUUGGUAUGUACUGGUGUUACUGGUUCCUACCUUCUGACGAACCGUCAUGUCAUUAAUUUGGUGUGGCGGGAAAUCAGGACUGUUACUUUGAAAAAAUUAGAGUGUUUAAAGCAGGCUCGCGCUUGAAUACAUUAGCAUGGAAUAAUGAAAUAGGACGUUCGAUCCUAUUUUGUUGGUUUCUAGGAUUGACGUAAUGAUUAAUAGGGAUAGUUGGGGGCAUUAGUAUUCAAUUGUCAGAGGUGAAAUUCUUGGAUUUAUUGAAGACUAACUACUGCGAAAGCAUUUGCCAAGGAUGUUUUCAUUAAUCAAGAACGAAAGUUAGGGGAUCGAAGACGAUCAGAUACCGUCGUAGUCUUAACCAUAAACUAUGCCGACUAGGGAUCGGAUGAUGUUAAUUUUUUAAUGACUCAUUCGGCGCCUUACG